rnacentral:tRNA from 1 species
AAAGGGAGACCUAAUUCAGGUAAAAGACGAAAAAAAAGUAGUCGCUACCAAGAAUCAAUCCCAAAAGGUCGGAGCGAGGCGAAAUUGGCUUUCAAACUAGGUUCUGGGUUCACACAAGACCUGAAUCAGGAACAAGGGCUAUUAGCUCAGGUGGUUAGAGCGCACCCCUGAUAAGGGUGAGGUCCCUGGUUCGAGUCCAGGAUGGCCCACCUGCACAGGUGGCAAAAAUAAAAAAGCGAGGAAUCAGCACCUUAUCCUAUUUAUAUAGUAAGAGAGAAUGCUGGCUCUGAGUUCAGAGUCCAGAGGAACCUUGAAAACUGCAUAGAGCUAGGUGAAAAAGCCAAAAAAGAAGACCGCAAG